CGGGCAAUAGCGCAGCUGGUAGCGCGUCUGGUUUGGGACCAGGAUGUCGGGGGUUCAAAUCCCUCUUGCCCGA
rfam:Treponema bryantii strain B25 genome assembly, contig: Ga0070255_101